rnacentral:rRNA from 1 species
CCUACGGGGGGCUGCAGUCGAGAAUUUUUGGCAAUGGGCGAAAGCCUGACCAAGCGAUGCCGCGUGCGGGAUGAAGGCCUUCGGGUUGUAAACCGCUGUCAGUGGGGAGGAAAGCUUUGUGAAGAGCCAGGCUUGACCUAUCCGCAGAGGAAGUGUGGGCUAAGUUCGUGCCAGCAGCCGCGGUAAGACGAACCACACAAACGUUCUUCGGGGUUACUGGGGUUAGAAGGUUCGUCAGUAAGUCGGUAGGGAAAUACCUCGGCUCAACCGAGGAACUGCGCCCAAAACUACUGUGCUUGAGGAAGAUAGAGGUAAGCGGAACUUACGGUGGAGCGGUGAAAUGCGUGGAUAUCGUAAGGAACACCUGUGGCGAAAGCGGCUUACUGGGUCUUUGCUGACGCUGAUGCACGAAAGCUAGGGGAGCAAACGGGAUUAGAUACCCCUGUAGUC